GGAUUGUGGUUCCAGUCACAACUGGCUGAUCCAUUUAUAGUACACAACUGUAUUAGACAAACGGAGGGCCAGUGUAGCUGGGCUCUGUUUCACAGCUCUGAGAUGUAAAGGAGAAGGUCUAGUUUGAGUUUUGUUGUGAAGCACCGGAUUCAUUCAUACAUCAAAGGGAACCUAAGGCAUCAGAGCCCACAUAGACAGAAAACAAAGGCACUGUUUACAAGGCGGAAACUUGCUGAGAGAAGCAGCUGAGUUUUGCAAGGCUCACCCACUGACUGCCACCUUGGAGAGUGCCUUGGACUGCAGAAGUACAGUGGACUUCCAGUCCUCCAGUCCUUCACAAAACUUGGAGGAGCCCCUUGUCAGCGAGAAACUUUGAC
rnacentral:lncRNA from 1 species